CUGACGUCAGCGCGUUCUUGGCGAGUGGGGCGGGGCCGGUGACUCAUCCGGACCGCGCCCCUUGCUCCCCGGCCCCGCCCGGACGCGCUCUCACGUGCGCGCGCGCGGCGCGCUGCUAAUUUUAGUUCCGGCGGCUUCCCUGGGGUCCCGUGAGGUGAAGGCGGGUGGAGGGGACGAGGCAGUCAAGGGAGUGCGGCUCUCCUCGUCCCUCCUCGUCCCUUCCUGCCCCGCCGUAGGUCUUCCUCGAGGACCGGGCCGGGUACGAGGGGUGGGGGCCUGCGGGCGACUAGAGGUGCUGGAACGCGGGUGUUUCCCGAGGCGGGAACCGAGGUUCUCUCCGCGUGGAAACCCCGUCCCUCGCUCGGCCCUGGACACAGUGGGCGUUAAGUAAAUGAAUCGAAGUUCCCUCCUGGACGGCGACCCUGGGCUUUCGGGAGAAAGCCAGAGGGGCAGGGUUCUGGAAGGUUCCUUGGCGGCCGGGGUGCGGUGCGGGCUGAAAUCCGAGCAAGAGCGGGGCGCGGCCCUCGGGCACCGACCGUGGUGCCAGCGCCGCGGCUGUGGGGCAGGGGCGGUCCUGGACCGUUGGGGCCACCGGGUCCGCAGUCCACGGGACCGAGGGAGGGACAGUGCCCGCCGUGAGGGGCGGUGGCCUUUCUAGGGUCAGGCCCGGCGCGGAGGCCUUGAAGGUCACCGGGUGAGAAGCCGGUGCGCACCCGGUCCCGGGCCCUGCGCGAACCAGGGUGAUCUUCCAGGAACCGGAUGAGAGCUGCGUUUUCAGGAAAGCAGUGCCAGACACCUCGGGAAAUCCGCACGCCCCUGUCCUCGGGUGGGGGUGGGGGUCCUGGGAAGAAGCUCCGUCCGCGUAAAGUGAACUGCAGUUUUGACUUUGCGGAGGGAUCCGUCGUGUCGCAGUGAGCCGCAUUGCUGUGGUUGGCAGCUAUUAGGUUGAGGAUGGGGAGAUAUUCUAUCAAAAUGAAGGAAUAAACCAAGAAAGAGGAAGGCCAGGGAUGCUGGAACCAGGGGCUUCAACUAGUGCUACCAAAGAACAGAGAAUAACCAAAAAUACUUGUCAUGUGGAAGAGUGAAAUAAAAAGUUGGAGAUGGUGAAAGAAAAAGAAUAGGUAGCAUUCAGCCUAUCAUGUCCUCAAGUAAUCUGCCAUAGCAUUUAUUUCCUGCAACCAGGCUUCUAUUGGUCCUGUGCCCAGUGCUUUGCCAGCCUAAGGAGGGAUGAGGUCCCAGUUGUGUGUGAGUGGAGGAGCCUGCUCCUGCCUUUGUCUGAGUCUGAUCACCACAACAACUGCCAUAACCCAGAAAAGCUCACUGAAUGCAACGUGAAGACACAGAGACCAUCAAGUGCACACACAGUGAGACAUGGCGACCGGGGAACAGCUGUCAGUGAACAAAGAGUUCGCACCGCUUCCAUCGUUUGCCAAGUAAUAGAAGGCUGUUACUCCUCAAACCACCCCUCCUCAGCCAUGGCAUCCUGGUACCACUGGUGCCUGGCAUAAGUCGGAGCACAGUCAGUGUUGAUUCUUCUUCUCUUAUAGUCUUACAGGCCCUCACAUGGGUGGUCUUUUAUUGUCAUCAGAACGUGGCUUCCCAGUGGACAAUAAGGUCUUUCCUGCUGGCUGCCUCUUGGGGUCUCUGUCUGAUGAGCUUCUGAGCAACCCAAUGCCUGGGACCCGGCCCUUCUUCCCUGCUGGCCAUAACCUUGCAGAGAGCUGUGGUUUCUGGGAUGUCCUUACAAUCUCUACUUGAUGGGUACCCUGGAAUGGAGGAGCCCUUCUGAACUAGUGGCCUGAAAUGGGAAGAGACUUCUAACCAUUGCCCAGCAGCUGGGUAUCAAAUCAAAGAGGAACGUCUGGCUGUGCGAAUUGACUCUGUUCCCAGAAGAAGGCCCUGAGAAGAAGGCCUUCUCCAAAAGUGCCACAUACGAUCAGCUUUGUACAUAGUCUCAUAGUCCUUUGAAAAAAUGCUUUUACAGCCAGGCGCAGUGGCUCACGCCUGUAA